UAUCAUGUCCCUGUUAAACACCUACAGUUGAAGUCCGAAGUUUACAUACACCUUAGCCAAAUACAUUUAAACUCAGUUUUUCACAAUUCCUGACAUUUAAUCUAGUAAGAAUUUCCUGUUUUAGGUCAGUUAGGAUCACCACUUUAUUUUAAGAAUGUGAAAUGUCAGAAUAAUAGUAGAGAGAAUUAUUUAUUUCAGCUUUUAUUUCUUUCAUCACAUUCUCAGUGGGUCAGAAGUUUACAUACACUCAGUUAGUAUUUGGUAGCACUGCCUUUAAAGUGUUUAACUUGGGUCAAAUGUUUAGGGUAGCCUUCCACAACCUUCCCACAAUAAGUUGGGUGAAUUUUGGCCCAUUCCUCCUUGCUCGCACAUGCUCUUUCAGUUCUGCCCACAAAUUUUCUGUAGGAUUCAGGUCAGGGCUUUGUGAUGGCCACUCCAAUAUCUUGACUUUGUUGUCCUUAAGCCAUUUUGCCACAACUUUGGAAGUAUGCUUGGGGUCAUUGUCCAUUUGGAAGACCCAUUUGAGACCAAGUGUAAACUUCCUGACUGAUGUCUUGAGAUGUUGCUUCAAUAUCUCCAUAUAAUUUUCCUCCCUCAUGAUGCCAUCUAUUUUGUGAAGUGCACCAGUAUUUCCUGCAGCAAAGCACCCCCACAACAUGAUGCUGCCACCCCCAUGCUUUAUGUGUAGUUGCAAACCAUAGUCUGGCUUUUUUAUGGCGGUUUUGGAGCAGUGGUUUCUUCCUUGCUGAGCGGCCUUUCAGGUUACGUCGAUAUAGUUCUCGUUUUACUGUGGAUAUAGAUACUUUUGUACAUGUUUCUUCCAGCAUCUUCACAGGGUCCUUUGCUGUUGUUCUGGGAUUGAUUUGCACUUUUCGCACCAAAGUAAAUUCAUCUCUAGGAGACAGAGCGCGUCUCCUUCCUGAGCGACAUGACGGCUGCGUGGUCCCAUGGUGUUUAUACUUUGCGAACUAUUGUUUGUACAGAUGAACGUGGUACCUUCAGGCGUUUGGAAAUUGUUCCCAAAGAUGAACCAGUCUUGUGGAGGUCAAUCAUUUUUUGGGGCUGAUUUCUUUAUAUUUUCCAAUGAUGUCAAGCAAAGAGGCACUGAGUUUAAAGGUAGGCCUUGAAAUACAUCCACAGGUACACCUCCAAUUGACUCAAAUUAUGUCAACUAGCCUAUCAUGACUUGUGUCAUGCACAAAGUAGAUGCCCGAACUGACUUGCCAAAACUAUCGUUUGUUAACAAGAAAUUUGUGGAGUGGUUGAAAAACAAGUUUUAAUGACUCCAACCUAAGUGUAUGUAAACUUCCACUCUUACAAAAAAAGGUUCUGGAUAGAACCAAAAAGGGUUCUAUGCUUGCUUCAUAUACUGCAUUCGGAAAGUAUUCAGACCCCCUUCACCUUUUCCACAUUCUGUUACGUUGUAAGCUUUAAACAAAAGUCAGCCAGCUUGGCGUUUGCCAAAAGGCACCGAAAUGACCCUCAGACCAUGAGAAACAAGAUUCUCUGGUCUGACGAAACCAAGAUUGAACUCUUUCACCUGAAUACCAAGCGUCAUGUAUGGAGGAAACUGGCACCAUCCCUACGGUGAAGCAUGGUGGUGGCAGCAUCAUGCUGUGGGGAUGUUUUUCAGUGGCAGGGACUGGGAGACUAGUCAGGAUCGAGGGAAAGCUGAACGGAGCAAAGUACAGAGAGAACCUUGAUGAAAACCUGCUCCAGUACUCAGAACCUCAGACUGGGGAGAAGGUUCACCUUCCAACAGGACAACGACCUUAAACACACAGUCAAGACAACUCAAGAGUGGCUUCAGGACAAGUCUCUGAAUGUCCUUGUACCCGAUCAAACAUCUCUGGAGAGACCUGAAAAUAGCUGUGCAACGACACUCCACCUCCAACCUGACAGAGCUCGAGAGGAUCUGCAGAGAAGAAUGGGAGAAACUCCCCAAAUACAGGUGUGCCAAGCUUGUAGCGUCAUACCCAAGAAGACUUGAGGCUGUAAAUGCUGCCAAAGGAGGAGAGACGAGAAAGCCCAGCUAGCCUAGCUGGCUCAGCGGGCUCAAAUGGAGGCCGCUAUCUAAUGCAGAACUCUGUUUACUUUGCUUUGUUCCGGGACAAUGUGGACCGCGCUGACUUUCAAUGUAGCAACUGCUUGCGGAGGACUACAGGACCGAAGCAGCUACUCUUGGCAAGCAAGUAGCAAACCUACAUAAGCUACUGGGGAACCCACGUCCACCUACUUUUUAUUUUUCUUCCACCCCGGUAGCUGGACGCCGCUCUGGUCUGGUGGUAGAUUCGCCACCAUGUCGCGGCUCUCCACAGCCGACUGGCCGGUGCUUGGCAGGGUUACAUCCCCGAAGGGGUCUCCCCCUUUCCCAGUGUACGGAACUGUUCUCGACCCAACCAACCAGCCAUGGAGUUACGUCCCUCGCCUUGGACGUCGAAGAAGGUGUCCUCUGGCAAUGGUGGUCUCCAUGAGAUGUUGAGCCCGGAACUGACACAGACCAAAAACAGAUUUGCCGCCCUGGAUCCAGAGGUUCCAGUGCCUUUGUCCUGGUUGGGUUCCCAAUCAAGAACCUAUCUGGAGGUAGCUGUGUCUUCGUCCUCUGUUCUGUCUCCCUCUCCGGUGGCAUCUAAACCUUGUGUUCAGAUCCUCGGACCGUGAGGCUGCCUGAGAGACCGGCCCAUUCAACAUCACCAGCUGUCAUCAUAGGCAGCUCUAUGGUGGGAAACAUCUCGGUUCCCAAGGCAAAAACCCUGUGCUACCCAGGAGCACAAGUACAGAACAUAACAAGGCUGCUUCCAACUGUUCUACCACAGAUGCCGGGAGCUGACACUGUCGUAGUCCAUGUGGGGUCAAACGACAUCAGGAGGGCUAGCAUGGAACAUUUGAAAAUGGAUUUUAAAGAACUGAUUUUAGCAUUAAAAUAAUUUCAGGUCCAGUACCAUCGUUGGGCCGCGGGUGUGAAAGAUUCAGCAGACUGCUGGCAUUACACAUCUGGCUAAAAGACUACUGUAGCUCUGCUGGAGUCACUUUUAUUGAUAACUUUGACACCUUCUGAAACAGAAGAUACUCUACAGGAAUGACGGAGUCCAUCCAUAUCAUCUUGGCUCCUGAACUCUGUCCACGCAUUUCAAGGCUGCGUUGAAACAAUGACUGGUAAAUUAUCCAAGACCAGCUGUCACGCCCUGACCUUAGAGAGCCUUUUUAUGUCUCUAUUUGGUUUGGUCAGGGUGUGAUUUGGGUGGGCAUUCUAUAUUCUGAUUUCUAUGUUUUGUGUUUCUAUGUUUUGUCCGGGUAUGGUUCUCAAUCGGGGACAGCUGUCUAUCGUUGUCUCUGAUUGGGAAUCAUACUUAGGCAGGCUUUUUCCCUUUUGCUAUUGUGGGAAGUUAUCUUAGUUAGUGGCACUAUUGCCCUUGUAAGCUUCACGGUCGUUUCUUUGUUUUGUUGGCGACAUUCAUUAAAAUAAAGAAAAUGUACGCUCA